rnacentral:lncRNA from 1 species
AGGAUGACACCUCGAGACCUAUUUAAGAAUAGAUUUCUUGUAGGUUCGAGUAACCAAGGGCAUUAGAGCUUCAAGCAGAGCAAGCACUGAAUCUCCACUUCGAGGUGGGUUUUAUUUUACAUACAAUGUAUCUUGAGUUAUAUAAGCUCUGAUAUUUCAUGAAAAUUAUCUGUUUAUCCAAUAUAAAUAUUUUUAUGUGCGUUCUGUAAUUGUUUAAGGCUCACUUAAGCAUCGAUCGAGAUUCUCAUUUGGCCUAACACGCUAAAUGAGGAUUGUGUACACAAGGUUAGUGGCUCGAUGGGUUGAUCGCCAUCGUGCACUAACAGAUUAGAACGUUAUAAGGGUGGGUGCUUGACAGGAGGUUAUCCGGAGCACGGUGCUUGACAGGAGGUUAUCCGGAGCACAGUUAAGACUAUUGAUUCUGACCGGGUGCGUCCCGAGAUCAAUAACAGAAUUUUGGAUCUGACUGGGCGUGUCCCGGGAUCAGUGAAUGUGGGGAGAAAGUGAGUAACAAUCGAACGUACAUGGCGCGCCACUUAAUGAAGAAAAGUUUUGUCAUGCUUAGAAGUGGGAUUCCGUUUUAAAACCUUCUAAGUCAUGAUUGUGAUAUUGGAUAAACUGCUUCGAUUACUUCAUAAAAUAUUUCGAAAACUUGUGUCCACUGAGUACAUUAGUACUCAGCCCAAAUUAUUUUCAAAUGUUUUCAGGUUGAUCGGUUGGUGCAGACGGGACUGAGCUGAGGCUAGGGUUCUACGAUGUCUUUUGCUUCCGCAAAUGACUAGCUUGUCACCUCGUUCUCCAUCCCCUAAAUUGAAACUUCUAUUAUGUGGUACAAUAUUAUCUUGUUGGGCUUAGACUCUUAACCCAUAUUUCUAUUAGUGAAGCUAUCAAUGAUUAUAAUCAGAGUCACGAAACUAAACCUAUGCGAUCCUGA